GCGGCCAUAGCGCGGUGGUCCCACCUGAUCCCAUGCCGAACUCAGAAGUGAAACGCCGUAGCGCCGAUGGUAGUGUGGGGUCUCCCCAUGCGAGA
rnacentral:rRNA from 1 species